rnacentral:rRNA from 1 species
CUACGGGGAGGCUGCAGUGGGGAAUAUUGGACAAUGGGCGAAAGCCUGAUCCAGCCAUGCCGCGUGUGUGAAGAAGGCCUUCGGGUUGUAAAGCACUUUCAGUGGGGAAGAAAGCCUUGGGGCUAAUACCCUCGAGGAAGGACAUCACCCACAGAAGAAGCACCGGCUAACUCCGUGCCAGCAGCCGCGGUAAUACGGAGGGUGCGAGCGUUAAUCGGAAUUACUGGGCGUAAAGCGCGCGUAGGCGGUCUGAUAAGCCGGUUGUGAAAGCCCCGGGCUCAACCUGGGAACGGCAUCCGGAACUGUCAGGCUAGAGUGCAGGAGAGGAAGGUAGAAUUCCCGGUGUAGCGGUGAAAUGCGUAGAGAUCGGGAGGAAUACCAGUGGCGAAGGCGGCCUUCUGGACUGACACUGACGCUGAGGUGCGAAAGCGUGGGUAGCAAACAGGAUUAGAUACCCGAGUAGUC